AUCCGAGUGCUGGAAUUGGUAGACAGUGCAAGCUUAAGUUUUGCUGGUUAAUAGCCGUGAACGUUCGAGUCGUUCCUCGGAUA
rnacentral:tRNA from 1 species